rnacentral:rRNA from 1 species
AUGCAAGUCGAACGAAGUAGCAAUACUUAGUGGCAGACGGGUGAGUAACAUGUAGGUAUCUACCCUAUGGUGAGGAAUAACACGAGGAAACUUGUGCUAAUACCUCAUAAGUCUUUACGGAGAAAGCUUUAUGCGCCAUUGGAUGAGCCUGCACUUGAUUAGUUUGUUGGUGGGGUAAUGGCCUACCAAGACUGUGAUCAAUAGCUGAUUUGAGAGGAUGAUCAGCCACAUUGGGACUGAGACACGGCCCAAACUCCUACGGGAGGCAGCAGUAGGGAAUCUUGCACAAUGGGGGAAACCCUGAUGCAGCGAUGCCGCGUGAGUGAAGAAGGCCUUUGGGUUGUAAAGCUCUUUCGUCGGGGAAGAAAAUGACGGUACCCGAAUAAGAAGGUCCGGCUAACUUCGUGCCAGCAGCCGCGGUAAUACGAAGGGACCUAGCGUAGUUCGGAAUUACUGGGCUUAAAGAGUUCGUAGGUUGUUAAAAAAGUUGGUGGUGAAAUCCCAGAGCUUAACUCUGGAACUGCCAUCAAAACUUUUUAGCUAGAGUAUGAUAGAGGAAAGCAGAAUUUCUAGUGUAGAGGUGAAAUUCGUAGAUAUUAGAAAGAAUACCAAUUGCGAAGGCAGCUUUCUGGAUCAUUACUGACACUGAGGAACGAAAGCAUGGGUAGCGAAGAGGAUUAGAUACCCUCGUAGUCCAUGCCGUAAACGAUGUGUGUUAGACGUUGGAAAUUUAUUUUCAGUGUCGCAGCGAAAGCAUUAAACACACCGCCUGGGGAGUACGACCGCAAGGUUAAAACUCAAAUGAAUUGACGGGGACCCGCACAAGUAGUGGAGCAUGUGGUUUAAUUCGAAGAUACGCGCAGAACCUUACCAACACUUGACAUGUUCGUCGCGACUCUAAGAGAUUAGAGUUUUCGGUUCGGC